GACGAACGCUGGCGGCGUGCCUAAUACAUGCAAGUUGAGCGCUGAAGGUUGGUACUUGUACCUACUGGAUGAGCAGCGAACGGGUGAGUAACGCGUGGGGAAUCUGCCUUUGAGCGGGGGACAACAUUUGGAAACGAAUGCUAAUACCGCAUAAAAACUUUAAACACAAGUUUUAAGUUUGAAAGAUGCAAUUGCAUCACUCAAAGAUGAUCCCGCGUUGUAUUAGCUAGUUGGUGAGGUAAAGGCUCACCAAGGCGAUGAUACAUAGCCGACCUGAGAGGGUGAUCGGCCACAAUGGGACUGAGACACGGCCCAAACUCCUACGGGGGGCAGCAGGAGGGAAUCUUCGGCAAUGGACGAAAGUCUGAACGAGCAACGCCGCGUGAGUGAAGAAGGGUUUCGGAUCGUAAAAAUCUGUUGGUAGAGAAGAACGUUGGUGAGAGUGGAAAGCUCAUCAAGUGACGGUAACUACCCAGAAAGGGACGGCUAACUACGUG
rnacentral:rRNA from 1 species